GUACUGCUAAUCCUUAUGCACCGCGGUUAAAAUCCGCGGCUUCUCACGCUUCUGAGGAUAACAGC
rnacentral:tRNA from 1 species